AUUGAACGCUGGCGGCAGGCCUAACACAUGCAAGUCGAGCGGCAGCGGAAGGAAGCUUGCUUUCUUGCCGGCGAGCGGCGGACGGGUGAGUAAGGUAUGGGGAUCUGGCCGAAGGCGGGGGAUAACCACUGGAAACGGUGGCUAAUACCGCAUAAUCUCUAAGGAGCAAAGUGGGGGACCGUUCAGGCCUCACACCUUCGGAUGAACCCAUAUGAGAUUAGCUAGUAGGUGGGGUAAUGGCUCACCUAGGCGACGAUCUCUAGCUGGUCUGAUAGGAUGAUCAGCCACACUUGGACUGAGACACGGCCCAGACUCCUACGGGAGGCAGGAGUGGGGAAUAUUGCACAAUGGGCGCAAGCCUGAUGCAGCCAUGCCGCGUGUAUGAAGAAGGCCUUCGGGUUGUAAAGUACUUUCAGUCGUGAGGAAGGUGUUAAGGUUAAUAACCUUAGCAAUUGACGUUAGCGACAGAAGGAGCACCGGCUAACUCCGUGCCAGCCGCCGCCGUAA
rnacentral:rRNA from 1 species